rnacentral:rRNA from 1 species
AGGACGAACGCUGGCGGCGUGCUUAACACAUGCAAGUCGAGCGGAAAGGCCCUUCGGGGUACUCGAGCGGCGAACGGGUGAGUAACACGUGAGCAACCUGCCCUUGGCUCUGGGAUAGCCUCCGGAAAACGGGGAUUAAUACCGGACAUUCACUUUCUCCUGCAUGGGGGGUUGGUGGAAAGUUUUUCGGCCAGGGAGGGGCUCGCGGCCUAUCAGCUUGUUGGCGGGUAACGGCCCACAAGGCGACGACGGGUAGCCGGCCUGAGAGGGCGAUCGGCCACACUGGGACUGAGACACGGCCCAGACUCCUACGGGAGGCAGCAGUGGGGAAUAUUGCACAAUGGGCGCAAGCCUGAUGCAGCGACGCCGCGUGGGGGAUGAAGGCCUUCGGGUUGUAAACCCCUUUCACCAGGAGCGAAUUCAGACGGUACCUGGGAAGAAGCGCCGGCUAACUACGUGCCAGCAGCCGC